UACGGAGGAUGCAAGCGUUAUCCGGAUUCAUUGGGUUUAAAGGGUGCGUAGGCGGAAGAAUAAGUCAGUGGUGAAAGCCUGCGGCUUAACCGUAGAAUUGCCAUUGAUACUGUUUUUCUUGAGUAUAGUUGAGGUGGGCGGAAUGUGUAAUGUAGCGGUGAAAUGCUUAGAUAUUACACAGAACACCAAUUGCGAAGGCAGCUCACUAAGCUGUUACUGACGCUGAGGCACGAAAGCGUGGGGAGCAAACAGG
rnacentral:rRNA from 1 species